AUUGAACGCUGGCGGCAGGCCUAACACAUGCAAGUCGAGCGGAGCGGCGGACGGGUGAGUAAUGCCUAUGAAUCUGCCUGGUCGUGGGGGAUAACGUCCGACAACGGGCGCUAAUACCGCAUACUAUCAAUUGAGCCUAGGUCGGUGUGGCUAGUUGGUGGGGUAAAGGCCUACCAAGGCGACGAUACGUAGCUGGUAUUAGAGGAUGAUCAGCCACACUGGAACUGAUACACGGUCCAGACGCCCACGGGAGGCAGCAGUGGGGAAUAUUGGACAAUGGGCGAAAGCCGGAUCCAGCCAUGCCGCGUGGGUGAAGAAGGUCUUCGGAUUUUAAAGCACUUUAAGUUGGGAGGCGUUACCAACAGAAGAAGCACCGGCUAACUCCGUGCCAGCCGCCGCGGUAAUUC
rnacentral:rRNA from 1 species